GAUGAACGCUAGCGGCAGGCCUAACACAUGCAAGUCGAGGGGCAGCACAGAAACAGCAAUGUUUUGGUGGCGACCGGCGGACGGGUGCGUAACGCGUAUGCAACCUACCUUUAACAGGGGGAUAACGGAGAGAAAUUUCCACUAAUACCCCAUAACAUCGAUCAAGGCAUCUUGAUUGGUUGAAAACUCCGGUGGUUAAAGAUGGGCAUGCGUUGUAUUAGGUAGUUGGUGAGGGAAUGGCUCACCAAGCCUACGGUACAUAGGGGGACUGGGAGGUUAGCCCCCCACACUGGUACUGAGACACGGACCAGACUCCUACGGGAGGCAGCAGUGAGGAAUAUUGGUCAAUGGGGGCAACCCUGAACCAGCCAUGCCGCGUGCAGGAAGACGGCUCUAUGAGUUGUAAACUGCUUUUAAACAGGGAUAAAGCACAGUAUGUAUACUGUGUUGAAGGUACUGUAAGAAUAAGGAUCGGCUAACUCCGUGCCAGCCGCCGCGGUAA
rnacentral:rRNA from 1 species